CAGCCAGCCAUCUGUUCAGGUGGCCGCCAGCACAAGUGGGUUCACCAGCACUGUAAAACAAGGUGUGAGCGCUUCAGGUAACUACGCAGAGUCAAGUUGAGGAAGGUCGGGAGCUGAGGAGAGGUGGACCAGUCAAGAUCUGAACGACCGACCUUCGGCUCCGCUCCUUUACGUCACAUGAAGGGGCGUGAGGGCGUUAGGAUACGUGUCG